UGUUCUGUCUCUUUCUGUCUCUUUCUCCCUUCUCUCUGUCCGUCUGUCUCUCUCUCUCUCUGGUCGCUUUCCUCUCACAAAAUAAACACCUUUCUCUUGUUACUGUAUCUACCUGUCUCGAGCCGUACCUUUGUCAUUAACCUGUUGUAUUACCUUACUGUACUUGCAUGGUAAUCUUCACUGGCAGCAGAGGGGAUAUCCUGCAUGAAAAAGGACGAAAGGGGACGAACAAAAGGACGAAAUGGACGACAAAUGGACGAGAAAACCUGCAGUUUCUCUUUCUAAUUUUUGAGUUGCUGUUGUAGCCACGAGUGAUGGAACUAUGGCUGACUUCUUACACCCAGUACAUCAUUCGUUUGAAGGAGGGACAACGCUCGGAGAGAAUUUCAGAUCAUCAUCAAUUUUUCAAGGGUGAACACGUAACUUAAGUGUUCUCCAAAAAAUUGUACUCAUAACACUUCCCUGGAGAGAUACGUAACUGUGUAUGUUGAUGCUUCGACAAUAAAAGAAAA